rnacentral:rRNA from 1 species
GUGCCUUUGUAGGCCACGUGUAUAUAGUGCCUAGUGAAUUAAAUUUUAACGGCCGCGGUAUCCUAACCGUGCAAAGGUAGCGCAAUCACUUGUUCUUUAAAUAAGGACUAGUAUGAACGGCACCAUGAGGAUCCACUUGUCUCUCAUAAUAAGCCUAUGAAACUGAUCUUCCAGUACAAAAGCUGGAAUAAACACACAAGACGAGAAGACCCUGUGGAGCUUCAAACCAAACUCACCAUACAUGAGCUGCGGUUUUUAGUUGGGGCGACUCUGGAGCAAAACAAAACCUCCAAACUUUACAUCCUUAGGCCAACAUGCCACCAUUACCCCCCCCCACGACCCAAUAUAAUUGAAUAAUGAACCAAGUUACCCCAGGGAUAACAGCGCCAUCUUCUUCUAGAGUCCCUAUCGCCAAGAAGGUUUACGACCUCGAUGUUGGAUCAGGGUACCCAAAUGGUGCAGCCGCUAUUAAAGGUUCGUUUGUUCAACGAUUAACAACCCUACGUGACGGCGAAAAAACCGGAAUUUUUUUUUUUUUUUUCAACAUUUUUUCUUUUUGUUGAUUGUUGACCAGCGUCUUUUUAUAAACUUGAAUGGCCGGCCCGACCCACCAACAAUCCUUCUGGACUUACAGAGCCAAUUCUCCCCGUUAUUUAUUUUUAUUAUAAUAAAACCCACCCUCACACUCUUGGGGAGAGAGAAAAAAAACAUUUAUAGGAUGUGGUGGGGCGGAUGGGAAGCUAAGUUAGAGUUUAAGAA